rnacentral:rRNA from 1 species
UACGUAGGGUGCAAGCGUUAAUCGGAAUUACUGGGCGUAAAGCGCGCGUAGGCGGCUUUGCAAGACAGAUGUGAAAUCCCCGGGCUUAACCUGGGAACUGCAUUUGUGACUGCAUGGCUAGAGUGCGGCAGAGGGGGAUGGAAUUCCGCGUGUAGCAGUGAAAUGCGUAGAUAUGCGGAGGAACACCGAUGGCGAAGGCAGUCCCCUGGGCCUGCACUGACGCUCAUGCACGAAAGCGUGGGGAGCAAACAGG